UUCCUCCCAAGCUGUGUAGCACCUUGCAUUUGUCUGCAUUGAAAUUCAUCCCAUUAGUUCUAGCCCAUCUUUCCAAUCUGUCAAGAUCCUUCUGAAUUAUGCUCCCAUCCUCCUAUGUGUUCACAAUCCUUC